rnacentral:tRNA from 1 species
GCCUACGUAGCUCAGUCGGUAGAGCACUCCCUUGGUAAGGGAGAGGUCAUGGGUUCGAAUCCCAUCGUAGGCU